rnacentral:rRNA from 1 species
UACAGAGGUCUCAAGCGUGUUCGGAUUCAUUGGGCGUAAAGGGGUGCGUAGGCGGCGCGGUAAGUCGGGUGUGAAAUCAUCGGAGCUUAACUCCGAAACUGCAUUCGAUACUGGCCGUGCUUGAGGACUGGAGAGGAGACUGGAAUUACGGUGUAGCUGGUGAAAUGCGUAGAUAUUGUAAGGGAAGACCAGGUGGCGAAGGCGGGUCUCGUGGACAGUUC